UUUAAGUGCAAUUGUAGUUUUUUUUGUGUCCGACGUUUAACUGUUUAUCUUAUUUGAAAUUCUUUUAGGCAAAAUUUGCUAGUAUUUUUGUUGUUAUUAGAUGAUAAGACAUAAAUAGUACUUUAUGUAUAACUUAUUUUUUAAAAUUUUUUUAAAUAAUACGGACGAUUAAAUAUUAGACACGGAAACCCGCAACUGCA
rnacentral:pre_miRNA from 1 species